rnacentral:rRNA from 1 species
UGGGGAAUAUUGCACAAUGGGCGAAAGCCUGAUGCAGCGACGCCGCGUGAGGGAUGACGGCCUUCGGGUUGUAAACCUCUUUCAGCAGGGACGAAGCGCAAGUGACGGCACCUGCAGAAGAAGCACCGGCUAACUACGUGCCAGCAGCCGCGGUAAUACGUAGGGUGCAAGCGUUGUCCGGAAUUACUGGGCGUAAAGAGUUCGUAGGCGGUUUGUCGCGUCGUUUGUGAAAACCAGCAGCUCAACUGCUGGCUUGCAGGCGAUACGGGCAGACUUGAGUACUGCAGGGGGGACUGGAAUUCCUGGUGUAGCGGUGAAAUGCGCAGAUAUCAGGAGGAACACCGGUGGCGAAGGCGGGUCUCUGGGCAGUAACUGACGCUGAGGAACGAAAGCGUGGGUAGCGAACAGG